UUUCCGUAGGUGAACCUGCGGAAGGAUCAUUAAAGAGUAAGGGUCUUCGGGCCCGAUCUCCAACCCUUUGUUUAACUACCAUGUUGCUUUGGCGGGCCCGUCUCACGACCGCCGGAAGUUUGGCUUCGACCAAACUUCUGGCCCGUGCCCGUCGGUGGCCCCUUCAAAUUCUUGAUCAAGUAUGAUGUCUUAGUUAAAAACUUAAUAGUUAAAACUUUCAACAACGGAUCUCUUGGUUCUG
rnacentral:misc_RNA from 1 species